rnacentral:rRNA from 1 species
GCAAGUGGUGCGACGAACCAGGCUUCGGCCUGGGGCAAAGCCGCGAACGGGUGAGUAACACGUGGGUAAUCUGCCCCGAUGACCGGGACAACCCGAGGAAACUCGGUCUAAUACCGUAUGUGGUGCACAGGCUCAAGCCUGUGUACUAAAGGUAGCUUCGGCUUCCGCAUUGGGAGGGGCCCGCGGCCCAUUAGCUUGUUGGUGGGGUCAAGGCCUACCAAGGCAACGAUGGGUAGCUGGUCCGAGAGGCCGAUC